UGGUGGAGUGAUUUGUCUGGUUAAUUCCGAUAACGAACGAGACUCAUCCUGCUAAAUAGUCACCACGCAAUAAUUACGUGGACUGACUUCUUAGAGGGAUUCGCUACUUAUAGUGGCACGAAAUUGAGCAAUAACA
rnacentral:rRNA from 1 species